UGGGUAUGUCAAUGAAUUGUACAUACAACUAACUGAAGAGUAGUGGUAUAGCGGUUAAAUGUUGAAUUCUUCUAACUGAAUUUUCCAUUAGAUUAUCCUUCUUCUGGUCGUUUGGUUGAUCUGGUAUACGUACUGCGAAAUUUGUGUGCUCCCCGCUUCUUCUCUCUGUGAAAAGAAUUUUAAACGGUUAUUCCAUAGUCAGUUUUGCUGUGUUUUCUGCCCCUGUAAUCUGUUGCUAUGUCUUAAAAUUCCGUAACUACGUACAUAUGUCGAAUCGGUUAGAGAAUAGACAAGCUAUAAGAUGAAGGCUUUUACCUUGGGUGCUCCAAAUUUUUUAGAUUGAUCAACUAUUGUUUGCUUUUACUUUGGUUGUUUCAGGUAAAUCCAUCUGUUGCAGUGACUCUGUAAUUUGGGAAUUAAAUCAGCAAAGAGGUACUAACUGUUGCUAUCCUAUUUACCUUUUUUCUUGAUUGUUGGUCAAUCACUUUUCUGUCGUUUUGUUUCUGCUUUUGGAUCAAUUUGUUGACAAAUUGAUUAAUCCGUCCUUUCUAAUUUGUUCGCUCUCUUUUGGAUGGACGACCAAUUUAUGACAUGUUACCUUUCAUUUCGCUUAACUACAUUGUUUAAAAAGAAGAAGGUUGUAUGGAUCAACAAGGUUCGUUUGAAAGCUAUGAAUUUUUGUUCGGUAUAUACUAUUCUUUUUCAAACUAAAGUUAUAUGUACAGAUAUCUGAAGUAGUGAAGUUCUUUGUAUAGAUUGAGUGGGUUGGUUCAAAAGCUUCGAAUUUUCGUUCGGCAUAUGUUUCUCUUAUUCAAACUGACAUUAUCUGUACAGAUUUCUAAAAUAUUGGUACAACUUGAUACAUUUUCUGACAAAGGAAUCAGGAGACUAGAUUUUCCAGCCAGCUGUAACAUUUUCGGCUGCUGGCUUGCAACACCCACUGCUCUUUCAUCCUGUACCAGCAACUUUUAUCAGUUUUUCUCUCUCUUAUUAUGUAUGUUGAUACCUAAUUCAGCUUCUAUUUUGACAAUGCAACAGCGGAUACCAUAAUGGAUCAGAGACUUCUUGUGGACUCCAUCACAAAAGAAACUACAGACUGGACCUGCAAGGUUCAGGUAAUUGACAAGUUUCAUCCUCGCAAGAGUAGAGACUCAUCUGUCCAUUUCCAAAUAAUACUCGUGUAAGAUGAAAGAGUAAGUUUCUCUCCUUAUCCAUACCCUAAAUACUCAAGCUGGCAUUCUAAACGUUAGCUACAACAAUGCUUUAGAAUCCGUAAAAUAUUUGUUAUGAAAAAAAGAAUUUCCACCUCAGGGAAAGACGGAUUGAAAAGUUUACUAAUUUCAUCUAUAAUUGUAACAGCAUAUUUGAAGUUGCUUCUAUUGCACUUAACUACAGGAACAACAGGUUUCCAUAGUGAUAUACGAUGAAGACAUUCCCAGAUACGACAACUUGUUCCUUCUUUUCCACACAUAUCUUGUUUCUUGUGCGAAAGUUAGGGAUCCUCGUAGUUACUCGAUACGAGCUGGUACAUACGGAUGGGUAGCUGACAAAUACACAAUUGUUGAACCAAUUAUUGACAAUGAUGGAUUGGAAGCACCACUGCCUGCUCCAGAAAAGUUAAGCACACUUCUUUUCUCAGCGAUUGAGCAACAACACCCAGGUGUUGAAUUUGGUAAGCUCCCAAUUUACAUCUUCUCCGUUUUCCCGCAUCAACUAAAUAGCCCGUAGUAAUCAAGCUAUUACUCAACAUGUUACUUUCAAUUACACCAGAUUUACUGGCAGUAGUAGUUAACUGCAGCGCCCUGCAAUACACAGCUGACCAGAGCAAACACUUUCGGGAAGCGAUUGUGAUUGAUCAAAGGUAAGUUAGUCUUUCCCUUUUAUGAAGUUCACCAAACCUUCUGUCUGAUUGCUAAAAUAUGCUUUCAUUAUAAUAAUUCCUGUGAUUGGUUUACCCACCAGCAAGACACCUUUUCUAUUUACCAUAUGGGAUGACCUAGCUGACAAUGAGGGAACAACCUUGUUGGAUCACCUACACGAGCAUCCAGUGAUUCUUGCCAAGCAUAUAGGCGUCACUGAAUUCCGUGGUGGCAUAUUAUUUACAAUAUUCUAUGCAUUCUUUCAUUUUAUUUCUUCUUUCUGAGUGGUCAACUAAAAAAACUUUCCGCCUUUCACAUACACAGCUCUGAGAUUGGCAACAAGAUAUCAAACAACAAUUUUACCAAAUCCUCAAGGCAAUUACCCUGAUGAACUGGUAUACAUUAACUUACUCCCCCUUAACAAAGAUGUAUGAAAAUAUUUGCCCUAUUUCAAUUUAACAUUUUCCAGGGUGAAGCAGAACGCACAAAUGUUGUCAUCUACUUCUCAUCAUCAACCUCCUCACUCAAUCUUGCACCUAUUGAAGAUCAAGUACAAUCUGUAUCCACCAUUCCAGAAUCGCUGUCUACGGUUAGUUUAUUCCACAGUAUGUAUAUGUAUGUACUAACUAUUUUCGUAUCCAAACUGAAAUGACCAACCUUAGUUACACAGCAGAGACACAACCAAAAGUGUUAACUCCAUCAUAAUGUAUGCGUUGUUGCUCAACAAUAUAACGUAACUAACUUGACUCAGAUCCCUUCCUACAAUGAGAAAUCUUUCUGCGGUUUCCAUUAAUUAACUUCGUACAAAAAGGUUAAUUUGUACUUUCUUAGGCCACCUUAAAAGAUUGCAUAACUGAACAUAUAAACACUUCAGAAUUGUAAUCUAGAGUUUAUUACAGCUGCUUUCAAUAAGUUUUUGAUAGUCCCGUACACCUAUGUUGCAGGUACAGACAGUUCAUGUAGAAGGCAGAAUAUCGCUUCCCGAUCAUUCUCAAUCAUUUUACUUGCUUGGCUGUUCACACUGUAAUCAAGAUGUACGUCCUAAAACAAAAAAAAAUGGUCCACUGCUUCUACUGUAUACUACAUCGGCCAUUGGUCCCCAGGUAACUAUAAACUUUACUACAUCGCAAUUUCUUAAAAUUGAGCUCACUCGCUGCCGAAGAAUACAUACAUUUAGGGAAUUGUUUGAAAUCACAUGAAACUUUAAUGUUGCAGCUUUAUCUCUUUCCUUUCAGGUGCCACUUCAACAUUGACAUCACAGAUUUCAGCGGGACAAUUACAACAACAAUGUCAGAAGCGUUAGCAGAAAGAAUACUGUCCCUAACUGCCAACCAAAUAUAUGAUAAAGUUGCUGUCCAGGUAUAAAAAUACAUACUAUUACCUACUGCGAAACUUCUCUUGCAAUUUUAUUUUACCACUAACUCCUAUUUAACGUACUAUCUUUUACCUUUUCCACUUAGAAACAACCACUGUCUAUUGCCGGUAUAAAUCGCCAAGAUCGUAAACUGUUUAAACUUCAAUUACAAAAGUCAGCUUUCAGAUUUCCAGACCAAAAAGCAGAUGCGCUAGCAGUUGCGUCAUUCACUGAAACAGAACAAACAGGUAAGAGGCAGAAAAUUGAACCAUCCGUACCCACGAAAAAAGAUUGAAGGUAACAGUACUUUGAUAUUUCAUCUGCAUUCUCUAUUCUCAUUUUCCGAUGGUUCUUCACACUUCAAUUAUACUGGAAAAACUGGAUUACUAUAAUUUAAUUUUGAGCUUUUGGAUGCGAUUUCCCUUUUGUGAUGAUUAAAGAGAAAUUUUAUUUUUAUUUUUCAAUUUGAAGUAAAUAGUGUUGUGUAAUUGGAAUUGUAUGUGCUAGCCCUAAUUUUCCUGUGUACUACAGUUACAAUAGAGAUAAGGUGUGUAUGGAUCCUCUUACGUUAUGCGUACCUGACUAGACAAAUUAAAAGGUGUAUGUUUUACUUCGUCAUCUGACUUUAUACGAUUAUGUUCCUUCUCAUCACCUCCACAAAUAAAUAACAUGUUCAUCCCAUUCACUUUUUUGGUAUGUCAUAUGCCUGUAGCUAUUCACGGA
rnacentral:lncRNA from 1 species